GUGUAACUGCGUCGCGUCGGAGGAGACUGAGCCCAGAAGGCAGAAGGGACUUGGCCACGAUUGCGCAAUGGGUUCGUGGUCCAGACUCCGAGUCCCCACCCCCCCACUCCCCCGGCCUUGCUGAGUUGGGCGGUGUCUCCAACACCCCACGCCAUUCUCCACCCGCUGGGGGAGCGAGGCCCCAAAGAGAUGCACCAACAAGGCGUAAGAAGGGCGUUCUCCACGACCUCGCCAGAGCAGGUGGAUUUCCGCGCUGAGCAGGGCACGCAGUGCUGUUUCUGAGAGAGGAAUCAGGAGCCUCUCGGAGGUGGUUAAGCCUGAGCACCCGCAGCGUCGUGAAAUUCUGGAUCUGCUCUGUGUCCAGGUCAAGUUGAGACUGCUGGCUGUUAGCGUCUAGAGCUCAGGAGGGGGCCUGAGCAGCAGACAGAGACCUGGCCAUCGUGAGAUUGGGGGCACCCGGGAAAGGUGAGCAUGGGGAGAAGAGGCCCCAGACACUCUGACCCUGAGGUCGGGGGUUACGGAGGAACCAGAAAAGAGAAGUAGGAAGGAGUGGUCAGUGUGGCGGGACCCACGCCGUGUCCUGAAGAGGACGGAGAGGACAGUCACGUGAGGCCGGGAUUAGGUCGUGGGAGCACUAAGAACGGACCCCUGGAUGAAGCUGCCUGGGGGCCAUCAGUGACCUUGAUGAGAGCUAUUAGAACUGAGUGCUGGGGCCCAGACGCAGCGGAGGAGCGGGGGACAGAGAGUGUAGACAACCUUUCCAGAGAGACCUGCUCGAAAGCUGAUGGCCUAAAUUGCAUCCUCCGUGUUCAUAAACUGAAGCCCCAGGGACCUACAGUCGGCGAUCCUCCAUCAGAGGAGGAAACGGGACACACACAGAGUCUUAGCAGCAAACGCACCGAGCGGGAAAGGUGGCCGUCUACCCGCCCCGGAUAUGGACCUUCGGAGACCACAGCCCUGGCCUCACGUUCCUCGGGGAUGUCCAGCCUCCCGGACUGAGACAGGAUGACCCCGGGCUAUGGAGCCCCAGGAGUGAUGGAGGUUAACAUGUGGGGCUUUGAAAAGCACCUGAGAAUCGGGGCCUGGAGCCUGGGAUGGCUGAGUGAGGUAUCUCUACUACUCAGCUGAACAUGUCGCCCUGAACCAACUAUCCUUGAAUCCCUUAAAAAAAAGAAAAGAAAAGAAAAGGCCAUUUCUUCUUAGAAACCUUCAGUGAAUCCCAUAAUCCUUACUCAGAGGCCAGGAAGGAAGUACUAAUGUCGGAACCAAGUCAGAAGUACGACUUUAAAAGGAGAAGUCCCCAGACACUGAGGUCUACGUUAAUUUAGGGCCGAUGGGAUACUGAAGAACGUCCAAACAAUCACCUGGAGGACGGCGCUUGGGGACAAGGAAGCCGUUAGCGAUACUCGCAAAGGUGGUCAUUUGUCACAAUUCGUGUUUUCUCAUUUGAUGCUUGAUAUAACCGACAAUCCUGAGAAUAAUCCGUAGGAAUAUCCGGGUUUCACCGGGGAGAAACGACUCCCAGAAGCUGACGUGACGGCCCAUCCAAGGUCACAGGCAGAGCACGGAGGACACGACCCGCCCUGUCCCCAUCACCAGGGCGCCCGGCCUCCAAGGCUGAGCGGGGAGUGGAAGGCGGCCUUAAAACGGACUCGAGCGUCUCCGCGGAUCUUCCAGCGUUCCUCUUCAUCGCCAUCAUCUGAACAUCAGGACCCGAGCUCGUCUUCCCGGUGAGGUGCCGCGCCGGGCCGCCUUCCCCCUUCACCGCCCCUCCCCCCAGUCCGCCCCUCCCCUCUGCCCCCGGCGCACCAGACACACAGGCCUUCAGUCAAGGGAAGCAAGUCAUCUCUCCAAAGGAUGGAGAAACACUAGUAGGAAAGUGAAAGAAGAGGCCAGGAUGUUGUCCUGCCAGUGCUGUCUCAGCCUGGAACCUUCUACCCGUCAUGCCCUCUGAGCGUGCCCACCUACCAUGCCGCGCAGCCUUACUGCCCACCGUCCUCCCUCCCCAAGUCUGUUCCAUCUUGUUUUGAGUCUCAGUACGCUCAGCACGAACUACUUAGGGCAAGGACAUCUGGGUCUCACUUCCCUUCGGUGUGUCCCCCACGACGCCCAGGGCAGCACCCCCCUCGACAGUGCCCACCGCCUGAUUCAAACAAGGGCCGUGACGUUUCGAUGAACAGUUAGGUAGGUCCACAAGUCAUCUGAAGAGAUCUCGCCAAGAAUGAAUGGAUAAAACAAAGCCAAGAGGGUUGGCACCAUGGAAUACAACUCAGCCUUAGAGAGGAAGGCAAUUCAGAUGCAGGAACCCCCUUAUGGGAGGUCCCUGGAGGAAUCAGAAUCAGGCUCACAGAGACAGAAAGCAGAAGGAUGGAUGCCGGGAACCGGGGGGAGGGCGUGGGGGUUAGUGUUGAAUGGGGACAGAGCCUCAGAGUGGGAAAAUGAGAAAGUUCUGGACACAGCAACAGCAGUGGAGAAGGUAAAUUUCACAUUACGUGUAUUUUACCACCAUUAAGAAAAACAUCCCAUCAAGGAUCAUUCCUGCGCUAACUCAAGACCAGACUGGCGGGGCCAGACGCCUUUCUUUUUGAUGCCAGUGCUGAAAUAAGCUUUGUUGCUGGAGUGUGUCGAGGCUCGGUGCCAGGCUCCCUCUGGCCUCAGAGCACCCCUGGCCCACGAUGGGACCAGCAUUUCUUUAUGGCUUCCUCGGGGGUGGACAGAAGUGGAUGAAUCCGUGGCCCCCAGGACUACCAGGGAACAUUGCACACAUGGUAGGCACUCAGUAAUUGUCAAGGGACUGACCAACAUGUUUUCCCUUUCUAGAAGGUUGAUAACCUUGUAGGUUCGAGAGAGUUGUAAAUGUCAGGGCAAAUUUUUGGAAUUGCAAAUCAAAGGCUCUCGGGGCGGUCUAGGCACAGACGUCAGUUUGGUCCAAGUCCAGGUGUAAGCAAAUGGCCCUCCGCUGACCCACUCCUGGGCUGGUGGUGCUGGGAGGCUCCCAGCUUAGACAAACCUCUCCGUUCCUGCAGGGCAAGUGCAGCUGGGUAGGCUGUUUCCCUACAGCCUCCUAGUCUCCCUUUGGCCCCUCCAACUUUGUUCUGAGCUAUGAAACCACUGAGAACUCACCUUCUCUCCCCAUGCCCCAGGGUGCAGGAGAGCUUGGGGGAGGGGGGCCUUCCUGCCUAACCCUGUGCUGGGCUGGUCCUCCAUCCAGGGAAGGGAACUGCAGGCUGCGGUCACCAGGACCUCCUCCUGGCUUUGCUGGGAACUGGAGCCCCUCCUGUCCCCUCUCCACGGGAGAGGCCGUCCUUCCCCCUCUGCACCCAGGGGCCCCACCUUCUCGGGAGCCUCUUGAGUCAGGCCUCGCUGUGGUACGGAAACUUCCUGUCCUUUCAGAUGUUAGAAAAGGUUCUUUUCCUCUCUGUGGGGCAGGUGCACCAAGGGGCGCCCUGCCAGGCCACUGCCAGGGACCUGCUUCCCCGGACCCACGUCCAGGUUCACCCCUUUCUUCUGAGAGGGGUGUGGGGACUCUGCCAGGUGGAAACACAGGGAGACUGACCCGACCGUCCCAGAGAGCACCGGAGGAGACACAGGGAGGUGGAAAGUGGGACUAAUCAGGACUGGAAGGAGAGGUUUGGGGUAGCCGUGGGGGGCGGGGAUACCACAUGGAGAGUGAGGUAGAGAAAGGGAGGGGGAGAGAGAUAGAUGGGGGUCCAGCUCCGCAGGGCGAGGAGGGCAAGUCGUCCUAGACCUCUCAGGUCGCUCCCACCCCGGGGUGUGCUCUCCCCGGGUGCGCCCCCACAGCGACCACACCCCAUCGCCAGCACCGCCCCCGUGGCCCACCCCCCAUCUUCCCGCCGCACCCCUCCUGGGCCCGGAUGCAUUGUGGCCCCCCCACGCCGUCCCACCCCCGCGUGUCCUCUCCCCCAGCACACCCCCCCACACCCCGACGG